rnacentral:snRNA from 1 species
GUGUUCACUUCGGCAGCACAUAUACUAAAAAAUUGGAACGAUACAGAGAAGAUUAGCAUGGCCCCUGCACAAGAAUGACAUGCAAAUUCGUGAAGCAUUCCAUAUUUUU